AGCCCUCCGUAUCCGUGCUGAGAUUUCAUCAGAAAUCAAUCCGACGGCACUGUCUGAUGCAACUUCACAAAUAAGUGAAGUG
rnacentral:pre_miRNA from 1 species